CCUCCCCAGNCNAUGAAAUUGAUCUCCCCGUGCAGAAGCGGGGAUAAUACCAUAAGACGAGAAGACCCUAUGGAGCUUUAGACGUCAGAGCAGCCCAUGUNAAGCACCCCUUAACAAAGGAAAAAACCAAAUGAAGCCUGCCCUAAUGUCUUUGGUUGGGGCGACCGCGGGGAAAAUACAAAACCCCCAUGUGGAGUAGGAAUACACAUUCCUAAACCCAAGAGCUCCCGCUCUAAUGAACAGAAAUUCUGACCAAUAAGAUCCGGCACACGCCGAUCAACGACCGAGUACCCUAGGGAUAACAGCGCAANCCCC
rnacentral:rRNA from 1 species